rnacentral:lncRNA from 1 species
UUGUAAGCUAUUCUUUUUCCUCCCUGCUCAUAGGUAGCAUCUCCCCAAGGCUGUGUGUGGUUGCCUGUCCGACGCAGAAUCAGGCUGCUGCGCUCCGAAGUCUAGGCCCCUGCUGCCAUUUCAGCUGUGUUUGGAGUUGAGCAGGCUCCUCUUGCACUGUGAAUUCUACCAUGAACAGCAAGCAGCUGUGGCAAGGACUUGCUGCACCAAGGAUGGCCUGCACUAAUGGACAAGGAACAAGAAUCAUUAUGUUCCCAUAGUUAGCAGACUUGCACUUGGGUAAAAGCCUCAACCAUAACCUUGGAGGGAAAGCAGCUAAGGGAAGCCCAGAUGAGUCCUUAUCCUCCUAAUGAUAUCUUCUCCCUGGGAAUUGCCAGUCUGGAAGGACUAUACUUGCAUCACAAACAAAGAGGAAGAGGGAAGCUUAAGAAACACCAUCAACUCUGAGUUAAAGGGGAUUCCAAAAGUGAUACAGUGCUGUGGAUAAUGCACACUGAAUAAAGUACCCCAAAUGUAAUCUUGCA